rnacentral:lncRNA from 1 species
AAAAAUUUAGGUGUUGGACUCCCCUUCGGCUUCACAUGGCCAGCCCUAAUUUCUUAAUCCAAACCUAAUCACACACAAAUACACAAUCACGCUGCCUACAAUAGAUUUGGUCAUCUGCUGUGCUGCUUGCCGACAACAAAUUGCUGCUCUUCGUCUUCGUCUUCGUCUUCGUCCUCAUCCCCGAUCUCUAGCUUGCUGGCUAUUCCCAUUUCCUUUUGUUUCGCAACUUAAUGGUUGUUGCCGGUAGCCUGCUACCUUCUUCAACUCCGAGCUAUAGCUAAUGCCUUCUUAAUUUAGAUUUUCUUCAAGUUCGAGUUGCUGCUACUGUAUUCUUUUGUGAGAGGUAAGCUGAUGGGUUCUUUCAUUUGUACACUAGGGUUUGGGGUUCUCUGAUCAGAAUAUAUCGGCUGGUCUGGUGAUUGCUCAACCGCCGUCGAUUUUUGAGGUGCCGCCCAGGUUGAGCCCCGCAAUUCUACUUGACUCGCUAAAUUUCAGUUUGUUUUCGCCUACACAGGUAAUUCAAUUUAACUUUGUCUGACCUAAAGUUUCUUCAUUUAUUCAUUAGAUUUUAGCUUGUUUAGGAAAGCUUUCAUUUUUAUUGGGUUUCGCAUUUAAAUUCUAAUAAUCCUUGGGUUUGAAUUUUGAUUUUUUUUUUUUUGGAGGGAUGGAAAAUUUUCUUCAUUGCCUUGAUUUGUUAGCAGUCGGUUGGAAUUUUGAAUUAGAGCUUGCUGAAGCAUUUAUUAUAGAAUUUAUAAAUGUGCCCUGUAAUUGGGAUAAAAACUCUUGACUUAAUUAAUCUGACAGAAGAACAUUUUGAGCAAUGUUGUAAUGUGAUUGUGCAUUGCUGAGAUAAUCUCAUCUUGUUUUGGUAUUCUAACCAAUAAAAAAAAAUUUAAGUGUUGGACUCCCCUUCGGCUUCACAUGGCAAGCCCUAAUUUCUUAAUCCAAACCUAAUCACACACAAAUACACAAUCACGCUGCCUACAAUAGAUUUGGUCAUCUGCUGUGCUGCUUGCCGACAACAAAUUGCUGCUCUUCGUCUUCGUCUUCGUCUUCGUCCUCAUCCCCGAUCUCUAGCUUGCUGGCUAUUCCCAUUUCCUUUUGUUUCGCAACUUAAUGGUUGUUGCCGGUAGCCUGCUACCUUCUUCAACUCCGAGCUAUAGCUAAUGCCUUCUUAAUUUAGAUUUUCUUCAAGUUCGAGUUGCUGCUACUGUAUUCUUUUGUGAGAGGUAAGCUGAUGGGUUCUUUCAUUUGUACACUAGGGUUUGGGGUUCUCUGAUCAGAAUAUAUCGGCUGGUCUGGUGAUUGCUCAACCGCCGUCGAUUUUUGAGGUGCCGCCCAGGUUGAGCCCCGCAAUUCUGCUUGACUCGCUAAAUUUCAGUUUGUUUUCGCCUACACAGGUAAUUCAAUUUAACUUUGUCUGACCUAAAGUUUCUUCAUUUAUUCAUUAGAUUUUAGCUUGUUUAGGAAAGCUUUCAUUUUUAUUGGGUUUCGCAUUUAAAUGCUAAUAAUCCUUGGGUUUGAAUUUUGAUUUUUUUUUUUUUGGAGGGAUGGAAAAUUUUCUUCAUUGCCUUGAUUUGUUAGCAGUCGGUUGGAAUUUUGAAUUAGAGCUUGCUGAAGCAUUUAUUAUAGAAUUUAUAAAUGUGCCCUGUAAUUGGGAUAAAAACUCUUGACUUAAUUAAUCUGACAGAAGAACAUUUUGAGCAAUGUUGUAAUGUGAUUGUGCAUUGCUGAGAUAAUCUCAUCUUGUUUUGGUAUUCUAAGUAUCCAAAUGGACUGGAUAGUAGGCUAUCCAGGUCAAGUUUUAAUGGUAAUUGGGCAUUUUUCUUUCCUGAUUUUAGUUUCAUCUCUUUUUAGAUGAAGCAUAUGGUUAAUGCAAACAAUUAACGAAAGAAAAGCUCUUGGUAUUACUAGUGUUGGAGAUCCAAUUGUCUUCAUGUAAACUGUGAACACUUUUAACUCCCAUAUCUAAGAUAUAGAGAUCUUUAUGUAGCUUUAAGCCAAAUAUGUGAGAAAUUCUCCAAUCUAGUCACAACUUUAUUAGCAACCAAGAAUGAAAGAGUAUUAGCUUCCAGUUAUAAUUUGAUGACCGGAGCUUGAAUGAGUGAGUGAUAACUUGUAUUGUCUAUAUUGCUUUGUAUGUCAUGCCUCACUGGCAUUAUGUUACUUGGGUAUCCAAAUUUUGCGUUUAUCUAUUACUAAUUUCCCUGAUUCAUUGGAUGCAACCUAGGGAGCCUUUAGAAUGAAGCACUAGCAGGCCCUAGCACAGGUCACUGCCCAAGCUGACAAUUGUAGAGAGGGAAAACAGAGACAAAAGGUUGUAAAACACGUUAAAGAGACAAAAGGAUAUAUAUGUAACAAAAAUAUCUAUUAAAAUUAGGUUCAGGGAGUAUUUGGAUGGAUUUUCUUUCUUUUGAUGUAACUGUGACCAAAAAGGGGUUUUAUUUGCAUUGUAAGUGGAGGUGUUAAUAGCAGCACUAUUUUUAUAUUUGACAACAGAAUACACAUUAACACUAUAUAUAGUGGAACCUCGAUAAAUUAAUAACAUUGAUUAAAUAAUAGUUUUCGCCAACUCAGACGUGGGCCCAACUUAGUAAAUUAAUAAUUCAAUAAAUUUAUUAAACAAUAAUUGUUGUAGAAAAGUAAGAAAUCUUAUUUUUCUAUAGGACUCAACUAAACAUAAAUUAAUAAUUAACCAAUUUAGAAUUAAACACAUAUGAUAUGUUUAAGAUUUUCUUUGUUGUACUAGCAUAAUGAUUUAUGCAUUCCAUUGGUUAUUGUUAUUUCUCUACAACUUUUAGAAGAGAAGCCAGUGUUGUAUUCUAUGUGAUAGGUUAAGAGAAACAAGAGAAAAAUUGACUUAAUAUAUUGUCUCAAAAAAGUCUUCUUUGAUGUGUUAUCAUCUAAUUGUGAUGCAACCAUGCAAUCUAGCAAAAGAAUUAUCAAGUCAUUGAUUUACUCAAUUAAAAUCAAACUAGAAUCAUAUUAUACAGCUUGAUAGAAUCUCUAUAUUCUUUAAUUACACUACAACAAAAACAGUGUAUGAUAGCAUCUGAAAAAUGCUACCAAAUUAAAGUGAAUGGUAGCAUUUUGAACAAUGCUAAGUUAGCCGGUGUAACUAAAAGUAUUACACAUUAGUAGCAUUUUUUACAUGCCACAAAUUAUGAUACAUAGCAUUCUGCUGUACCGUACAUCCGCCUUGGCCGUACAGCAGCAUUAAUUGCACUUGGUUUUAUAUUUCUCUUUACUAUGUACUAUGUUGCAAAAUAUUUUGUUUAUACUUAAUCUUUUAUAAUCCAGCAACUCUUAUGAAGACCUAGUCAACUGUCACUGCUACAUAAGCAUUCAGGUUAUACUGCUUUAUCAUCAUUUUUAUUUUCUUCCCUUUUUCUCUUUUACAGCUUGUGAGCUUACUGCUUCAUUAUGUCAAUUGUCGAAUGUGAUUUUCUAUUUUCUCUUGGGUUGUUUAUUCUCAUUUUCCCUUUAGUAUCAAAGCUGAUUAAAUCAAUUAGACACUGAUGAAUUUUAUUAUGAAUUUGAUUAAUUGUAAGUGGGCAAUAUAUUAAUAUGUAUUUUUUGGGCACUCAUUUUAUUGUAACCUAUGUUUCAGGUGAUGUUGGUGGCUUUCGGGAAUUUACUAAGAGUGUUUUUUUUAUGGAUUAAUUGUUUUUCUAGUGAUGUGUUGGUGAUUGGAUAUUGAUAAAGGAUUUAUGAGAUAUUGUAAAGGAUUUGAUUCACCAUAUAUUUUGUGAUGCUAUUUGUUGGAAGUUUCAAGUGAUUGAAAUUUUUAGCGCAUCACACUAUUUGGUAUUUGAUAGUUUUUAUGAAUUUGAAUGUAAUUUUUAUUUCAAUUAAUUCAAGUUUUAAAUGUGGUUUUUGUUGUUUUUA